AAAUCUUCUUCCUGUUUCCAAUACAAAAAACUGUAUAUCAAUUCGUCAGUAAAUUGCUACAUGCAUUAACUAAGCAAACAAAACAACUUACCUGACUAUCGCAUUUGCAUCCGAAACAUAUUUUUCAGGUUCCUUUGAAUUUACUAAACGUACAGAAUUGCAGUUUGCAGCUGUGAAGCGUUAGCGGCUCGAAACAACUCAUUAUUUCUACAAUUGUUUAUUUCUUUUAUACAUACCUCCCUCACAAGGUACCUUGACAGAGAAAGCAGAAAUGGCAAUAGAAACUUUUAAUGACUCAGCAAAACUAUAAGACGUCUUGAAAGACGCUGGGAUUUGAACUUUAUAGGUUGCCAUUAUUUUUGGCAGAUGUACUUUGGCUUCAAGUGGGUCGUUUUGAGACAAGCACAAAAGAUAUAAAAG